GCCAGACUCCUACGGGAGGCAGCAGUGGGGAAUAUUGCACAAUGGGGGAAACCCUGAUGCAGCAACGCCGCGUGAGCGAAGAAGUAUUUCGGUAUGUAAAGCUCUAUCAGCAGGGAAGAAAAUGACGGUACCUGAGUAAGAAGCCCCGGCUAACUACGUGCCAGCAGCCGCGGUAAUACGUAGGGGGCAAGCGUUAUCCGGAUUUACUGGGUGUAAAGGGAGCGUAGACGGCGAUACAAGUCUGAAGUGAAAGCCCGGGGCUCAACCCCGGGACUGCUUUGGAAACUGUGUUGCUGAAGUGCUGGAGAGGCAAGCGGAAUUCCUAGUGUAGCGGUGAAAUGCGUAGAUAUUAGGAAGAACACCAGUGGCGAAGGCGGCUUGCUGGACAGUAACUGACGUUGAGGCUCGAAAGCGUGGGGAGCAAACAGGAUUAGAUACCCCGGUA
rnacentral:rRNA from 1 species